ensembl:snRNA U6 U6 spliceosomal RNA
UUGCUCGCUUCAGUAGCACAUAUACUAAAAUGGUAAUGAUACAGAGAAGAUUAGUAUGGCCCCUUAAAAAAAAAUCACCUUGUUAAAACACACAUUCCU